rnacentral:misc_RNA from 1 species
UCCGGGUUGCUCCCGGCGGUCUCGCCAGAAAAGGUAACUGGCGACGAGGGUUGCGCUCGUUGCGGGACUUAACCCAACACCUCACGGCACGAGCUGACGACAGCCAUGCAGCAUCUGUGCAGGUUCCUGACUCAACAGGUCGUUCCCGUUUCCGGGUUCUACUGCCUGCAUGUCAAGCCCAGGUAAGGUUCUGCGCGUUGCAUCGAAUUAAACCACACGCUCCGCUGCUUGUGCGGGCCCCCGUCAAUUCCUUUGAGUUUCAGCCUUGCGGCCGUACUCCCCAGGCGGGGCACUUAAUGCGUUAGCGCCGGCACCCGGAGGGUCGCUACCCGCGACACCUAGUGCCCAUCGUUUACGGCGUGGACUAC